rnacentral:rRNA from 1 species
UACGUAGGGUGCAAGCGUUGUCCGGAAUUAUUGGGCGUAAAGAGCUCGUAGGCGGUUUGUCGCGUCUGCUGUGAAAACCUAAGGCUCAACCUUGGGCUUGCAGUGGGUACGGGCAGACUAGAGUGCGGUAGGGGUGACUGGAAUUCCUGGUGUAGCGGUGGAAUGCGCAGAUAUCAGGAGGAACACCGAUGGCGAAGGCAGAUCUCUGGGCCGUAACUGACGCUGAGGAGCGAAAGCAUGGGGAGCGAACAGG